UAUUUCUUCAUGCCAGGGUCGGGUCUCAGGAGAGCAAACAGAAUGCUGAUGCGUGCUUGGAAUUAGAGCCAGCCAGGAGGGGCGCGCUGGGGAGGCUCUUUCUGAGGCCUCAUCCAGCAGAUACUCCCGCCAGCCACUCCGAAUGCACUCCCACUCCGCAGCCGCAGCCAGCCAUCAACCGGUUGUGGCCACGCAAGGGCCAAGUUCUUUUGUUUGAGGUGUUCUCCCCUUUUCCCCUCAAAUCCUCUCCUUUCCAGGACCAUGAGCUUCCUGUUGCCAUUUUUCUAACCAACUGAAUUACAUGGGUAAUUGUGAACAAAGAUGGUUCCUGCUGGUCUCACCUUUGGAACAUACAAACUUAAGACUGGCCACAGCCUUGUUUCAAGAAGAGAAUCCAGGGUGGAGAAGGAAGGAGAUUCUUCCUCCCUCCCAGAGCCUCAGUGCCCGGCACGCUGGGAGCACCGGAGAGUCAACGUGCGGCCUCCCUUGACAGGCCAGCAGGCUUAGCAGACCAUGCAGAGCCAAUAAACAUCAUCUCCCUGGACUUUUAAUAAGGUUUUGAAUGGGUUUCCACUUAAGCAGUCCUUGAGAAACUUGGAAAACAUGGCUGAGUACGAAAGUUUUAUUAAGCAGGAUGUCGGGGAAAUUAGUGGUGCCGUUUAGCACCCCCCAAAAUCAUCUUUGGCAUUAAUUUGCUUUGCCCUAGGUGGUCUCCUAGCUAUCCUGGCCCUCUUCCCCCGAUCUCUCUGCCAAUCUCAGUGGCCCUUUAAAAUCACAUAAUGUCCUUCAAAGGGACUGCGCAGCUUUGAGCGGGGCUGUAAACUGGGACUUGCAUAAAAUCUGGGGUCAAGGGAGGUAUAACGGAAUGAUUUAAGCAAACAAAGACCACUUUACGCUCCAACCUAAAUGUUGAAAACAUAAAACCAUUUUUAAAUACAUGCCGGCUAAGUAUGGGAGAAUAAAACUUCCUUUUGAAAAUAAACUCUGUCUUCUACAAUCAGUUUAUUAUACACCAUCGCAAAAGUGUGGUCCAGGCAGAGGGAAAAGCUUUGCAAAGGCAGACAAAGCAGCAGAAAUCGCCCAGUGGGUUCAGAGUGGGAAAAUUCAGGGUGGCUGCAGCACAGGGGCGUGAGGUGGCUGAGGCUGACGACAUUGCUCAGGGUUUCAGUCCCUCCUCAGACAGCCACCCGUAAACUCACAGCUACCCACCUGCAGGAGGCAGAAAACAGAAGGGAGAAAACAAUCGCCAUCGACAUUUACAGCCACCAUUACUAUGUGUCUCCUAAAUGGAGAGCACUGUGCUGAGAGGUUGCCAUAAUUCCCUCACUUGACUUCUCCAAAAAUUACGCAAGGAAGGCGUUAUCCCUUGCCUCACAGAUGACCUAGCCAUGGGCAUUGAGCUACGGUGGGAUUUAUACUCUGACCCCCCCACGCCAAAGCCCACACCCUUUGUUUUUGUAAACCACAUCAUAG
rnacentral:lncRNA from 1 species